rnacentral:rRNA from 1 species
GAUGAACGCUGGCGGCGUGCCUAAUACAUGCAAGUCGAGCGAACAGACGAGGAGCUUGCUCCUCUGACGUUAGCGGCGGACGGGUGAGUAACACGUGGAUAACCUACCUAUAAGACUGGGAUAACUUCGGGAAACCGGAGCUAAUACCGGAUAAUAUAUUGAACCGCAUGGUUCAAUAGUGAAAGACGGUUUUGCUGUCACUUAUAGAUGGAUCCGCGCCGCAUUAGCUAGUUGGUAAGGUAACGGCUUACCAAGGCAACGAUGCGUAGCCGACCUGAGAGGGUGAUCGGCCACACUGGAACUGAGACACGGUCCAGACUCCUACGGGAGGCAGCAGUAGGGAAUCUUCCGCAAUGGGCGAAAGCCUGACGGAGCAACGCCGCGUGAGUGAUGAAGGUCUUCGGAUCGUAAAACUCUGUUAUUAGGGAAGAACAAAUGUGUAAGUAACUAUGCACGUGUUGACGGUACCUAAUCAGAAAGCCACGGCUAACUACGUG